rnacentral:rRNA from 1 species
AGAUUGAACGCUGGCGGAAUGCUUUACACAUGCAAGUCGAACGGCAGCACGGGACUCAGGCAACUGAGCCCUGGUGGCGAGUGGCGAACGGGUGAGUAACAUAUCGGAACGUACCCAGUCGUGGGGGAUAACUCUCCGAAAGGAGAGCUAAUACCGCAUACGUCCUGAGGGAGAAAGCGGGGGACCUGCAAGGGCCUCGCGCGAUUGGAGCGGCCGAUAUCGGAUUAGCUAGUUGGUGGGGUAAAGGCUCACCAAGGCGACGAUCCGUAGCGGGUCUGAGAGGACGACCCGCCACACUGGGAACCUGAGACACGGUCCAGACUCUACGGAGGCAGCAGUGGGAAUUUGGACAAUGGGGGCAACCCUGAUCCAGCCAUUCCGCGUGAGUGAAGAGCC